GACGAACGCUGGCGGCGUGCCUAACACAUGCAAGUGGAGCGACGAACCAGGGCUUGCCCUGGGGCAAAGCCGCGAACGGGUGAGUAACACGUGGGUAACCUGCCCCGAUGACCGGGACAACCCGAGGAAACUCGGGCUAAUACCGGAUGUGCUCCUCGCACAUCAGUGCGUUGAGUAAAGGAAGCUUCGGCCUCCGCUUCGGGAGGGGCCCGCGGCCCAUUAGCUAGUUGGUGAGGUAACGGCUCACCAAGGCCGCGAUGGGUAGCUGGUCUGAGAGGACGAUCAGCCACACUGGGACUGAGACACGGCCCAGACUCCUACGGGAGGCAGCAGUGGGGAAUCUUGCGCAAUGCGCGAAAGCGUGACGCAGCAACGCCGCGUGGGGGAAGAAGGCCUUCGGGUUGUAAACCCCUUUCAGGAGGGACGAAGGUGCGGCGGCGAACAGCCGUCCGUACUGACGGUACCUCCAGAAGAAGCCCCGGCUAACUACGUGCCAGCCGCCGCGGUAAGAC
rnacentral:rRNA from 1 species